rnacentral:rRNA from 1 species
AUUGAACGCUGGCGGCAUGCCUUACACAUGCAAGUCGAACGGUAACAGGUCUUCGGAUGCUGACGAGUGGCGAACGGGUGAGUAAUACAUCGGAACGUGCCUAGUAGUGGGGGAUAACUACUCGAAAGAGUGGCUAAUACCGCAUGAGAUCUACGGAUGAAAGCAGGGGAUCGCAAGACCUUGUGCUACUAGAGCGGCCGAUGGCAGAUUAGGUAGUUGGUGGGAUAAAAGCUUACCAAGCCGACGAUCUGUAGCUGGUCUGAGAGGACGAUCAGCCACAAUGGGACUGAGACACGGCCCAGACUCCUACGGGAGGCAGCAGUGGGGAAUUUUGGACAAUGGGCGCAAGCCGGAUCCAGCAAUGCCGCGUGCAGGAUGAAGGCCUUCGGGUUGUAAACUGCUUUUGUACGGAACGAAAAGCCCUGGGUUAAUACCCUGGGGUCAUGACGGUACCGUAAGAAUAAGCACCGGCUAACUACGUGCCAGCCGCCGCAGUAAUAC